UUCACCCUGCGGGAUCAGACAGAUCCCUCUUUGACUGGAGAUGAUCACUCGUAUCCCAUUCUACCCUAGACAAGUUUGGCAUGUAGAAGUUUUGCAGCCGGAAUAAACAAAGAGGUUGUCGAAGUUUUUUAAACAUCUUUAAAAAUUACUGAACGCUGGAGCGUUCAGCCAUUUGAAAGGAAACUGUUUUAAAGACACGCAUCGCAAGAGCAAAUGGAGCAAAACUACGGGGAGGUGAACCAGCUCGGGGGAGUUUUUGUCAAUGGACGUCCUUUGCCCAAUGCAAUAAGAUUACGAAUCGUGGAGUUAGCCCAGCUUGGCAUCCGACCCUGUGACAUAAGCAGACAGCUUCGGGUCUCCCAUGGCUGUGUGAGUAAAAUCCUUACGAGAUACAACGAAACUGGGUCCAUUUUGCCGGGCGCAAUCGGUGGCAGCAAACCACGAGUUACGACACCAAAUGUAGUAAAAAACAUAAGGGAGUACAAACAAGGAGACCCGGGAAUUUUUGCAUGGGAGAUCCGGGACCGUCUUCUCGCGGACGGAGUAUGUGACAAGUACAACGUUCCUUCGGUCAGCUCUAUCAGCAGGAUAUUAAGGAACAAGAUUGGAAACUUCUCCCAGCCUAACCAAUAUGAAAAUGGCAAGCAAGCAGCUCCGCAGUCCAGCCUCUCGUACUACCCGUAUUCAUACCCCACUGCAAUGUCUCCCUCCGGGACCAAAAUGAGCAAUCCUCCCGGUGUCCCUGUCACGGGUGGGCAUUUAAGCAUUUCCCGCGGUUGGCCUUCAGCGCACACGGUCAGCAAUAUACUGGGUAUUCGGGCUUUCAUGGAUCCUGCAGCCUUUGCUAGCGCUGAAGGAUACGCACCAAAAAUGGAGGACUGGGGUAGUGUGAAUAGAGCGACAUUUACCUCUGCUCAUGGAGUCAAUGGAAUAGACAAAUCAGCUAUUGAUGCAGACAUAAAAUACCCUCAGCCUUCUUCGACUUUGUCUAGUUAUGUCCCAGCAUGCGCAUACUCUCCCUCCAACCAGUAUGGCGUGUACAGUGGUCCAGCAGGCAGUUAUGUGAGCCCAGGGCAUCACUGGCAGGCCCAGGGCACCAGCCUCUCCCACCCUGGCGGUGGCGUAGCGAUGCACCCGAGUGACAACCAUUCUUCUAUGGGGUUCAAACAUGCUGUGCAAGAUGGAGACAGAAAACCACCGAGUUCCCUAAGCAAGCACCAGCACGAAGCCUUGAGCAAUAUGCACGGACUUUCUACCUCGUCCUCGUAACAACACAGAUACAUCAGUUUAGAAAUGAUCGCAUUUCAAGAACGCAAACCUGGGGAGGCAGUGUCUGACUUAAGUGAAGCAUGCGAAAAGGUUUCCAACGGGACCAGACAAGCAGCCAUGAAACACUACGUACACAAUGGAGCUUGGAAUGAACACUGCCACCAUCCUGUCUGCAACAGACAAUAACAAAGGAUGGGACAUAUUAAUCAUUUUUUGACAGCAUGCCACUCCUAUAAACCUUUACCUGAUUUCCCCAGAAAUCUUGAUCAUCACUUUCUCACAUACAUAUCUCGAGUAACUACAACUUGGUGUCCAUGCAGUGCUCCAAGUAAAAAAAAAACAAACAAACAAACAAAAAAAAAAAAAAUAAAUAAAUAAAGGAAAAGAAAGAAAAGUAAUAGUGAAAGUAUUGUACUUUCUAUGGACUACCCUAUGAUAUCUGUGUAAAAAAAAAAAAAAAAGAAUAUGUAGAUAUUUAUGGAAAAAGUUUGGUGAAUGUUUUUGUACAGGCAAUAAAGUUGCAUAAUGUCAUAACUGUGGUUUUUAUUGUAGUGAUUUUAAUGUGGUUUUUAGUUGUUUUUGGGUAGCUCAUUUGAGUGGUGAAAGGGCAGAAACAGAAAUACAAUAUUCUCUAAACAAAUAUUCUCUAAACACUUUUUAGUCAAAUACUUGGUGAAAUACUAUAUUAUUUGCCAUUUUUAUAAUGGGUGUUUCUGAGCAAAUUAUUAUAUUAUUAUUUUAUUUAGUUUUAUUUAUGUUCAUUGUAGUUUCCCAUCAUCUACAGCAUAUUUCCUCUAACUUCAGUUUGAUUCAUUAGGCUAUGCAUGCAGAUGCAUGCUGUUCACUUAGCUGUGAAAAAAAAGUGAUAUGAGAAAAUUAAAACUAGUAUGUUUUCCAGUGUGAUUUCAUAUUGUGACCCCACCCCAAAUUAAUUUUUAUGGCACUGUUGUGGUUUUGAUGCAUUGCAUCGCUCACUUGCAAUGUAGACAUAGUUUUUUUCACAGAUGAGUACAGCCCCUAGCAGUUCCACACAUGGUUCCACGAGUCUUUGAAGAGCACGAAACGUGGCCAGCCAUGGAGAAGCGGUCAUGUCCUCUUAUUAGUGCAGCUACUCCAGUUCAAUCUCCAUCUCAAUAUUUCCACUCCGCUUAAGCCUGUAGACUGACUAAUUCAGUUGAAUGUUAUCAGAGAGACAAGUUCAAAUAGAAAAGAUAAUCUUACACCUCAUGCAGAGUGCAGUAUGCUAGAUUCAGAUCAUAGCAGGAGUUCUUUAUCAAUUUUGACAGGCCUGUAAAAUACAGGGGGUGUGAGUGUUGCAAACACAAAGGAUCACAACAAACAAGGAGAAGACGAAAUACAUUCAUUGCCAAAACCUCUCCAUUUAUUUUACAAUCAUGCCAUUAACCAACAUUAAGACAAAGUGCUAGAACUGCCAGUCUGCCACCAAUUCCAGUCUUCCCCUGCCACCAACAGGAAGCAGUCUUUAUAGGGAGCAAACACUCAGAAACCGGUGCCUCCAAUUACACCACAAUCAACUUCCACCUGCAAGCAAUCAAAACACAAACACACACAAGGCAUAAAAAAGCCACUGGGCGUCACAGUGAGAAUAAGACGCGGGGUGACACUUUACAGUAAGGUUUCAUUUGUUUACUUUAUUUAAUGCCUUAAUUAACAUGAACUAAUAAUGAUCAAUACAUAUUGUUAGUCCAUGUCAGCUCAGAUCCAUGAAAUAACCUUAAUAGAUAUAACUUCUGAUUUUAAUAAUGCAGUUAUAAUCUAUAAUAAUGUAGUUACCAAUGUAGUUAACUAAUGCUAACAAAUUGAACCUUAAUGUUAAGUGGUACCAGAAAUGGUUUCAUAAUGUCUGCUGGUGAUGUCAUAAUGGAAUUAUUAUUAUUAUUAUUAUCAUUGUUGAUAUGUAAGACUUACAUACCAGAUCCUC